GGGAUAACUUCGGGAAACCGGAGCUAAUACCGGAUAACAUAUUGAACCGCAUGGUUCAAUAGUGAAAGGCGGCUUUGCUGUCACUUAUAGAUGGAUCCGCGCCGUAUUAGCUAGUUGGUAAGGUAACGGCUUACCAAGGCAACGAUACGUAGCCGACCUGAGAGGGUGAUCGGCCACACUGGAACUGAGACACGGUCCAGACUCCUACGGGAGGCAGCAGUAGGGAAUCUUCCGCAAUGGGCGAAAGCCUGACGGAGCAACGCCGCGUGAGUGAUGAAGGUCUUCGGAUCGUAAAACUCUGUUAUCAGGGAAGAACAAAUGUGUAAGUAACUGUGCACAUCUUGACGGUACCUGAUCAGAAAGCCACGGCUAACUACGUGCCAGCAGCCGCGGUAAUACGUAGGUGGCAAGCGUUAUCCGGAAUUAUUGGGCGUAAAGCGCGCGUAGGCGGUUUUUUAAGUCUGAUGUGAAAGCCCACGGCUCAACCGUGGAGGGUCAUUGGAAACUGGAAAACUUGAGUGCAGAAGAGGAAAGUGGAAUUCCAUGGUGUAGCGGUGAAAUGCGCAGAGAUAUGGAGGAACACCAGUGGCGAAGGCGACUUUCUGGUCUGUAACUGACGCUGAUGUGCGAAAGCGUGGGGAUCAAACAGGAUUAGAUACCCUGGUAGUCCACGCCGUAAACGAUGAGUGCUAAGUGUUUAGGGGGGUUUCCGCCCCUUAGUGCUGCAGCUAACGCAUUAAGCACUCC
rnacentral:rRNA from 1 species